ensembl:lncRNA MAD2L1-DT MAD2L1 divergent transcript
UGGGCGCAGAGCGAGACUCCGUCUCAAAAAAAUAAAACCAAAAAAUAAAAAAAAGAGAAAAAUCUAUUUUUCCUGCCAUGAUGGAAUUUUGAAAAACAGAAAUGUCUAAAGCAGAAGUUUGAAGGUUUUGUUAGUGAGGCAUGCAAUGUGAAAAAAGUGUGCAUGUUCAUGCUUGUACAUGAGAGGUUUAUAUCAGGCAGUCUCCACCCCUGUUCCGAAGUCAAGAGGCUGACUCGGGUUGCUACUUCUUGACAGACCGGACCCCAGAUCAUGUCAGUUUUAAGACUUGAGAAGUGAAAAAAGAAGAGGGAAAAGAUAAAUACUGCUGAAUUCCAGCUACAUGGAAAGGUGUCUGACAGAGUGGUUCCCCAAGGAAGGCAUUAACUAGCACAGAAGUAGACACAGCAUGUGCAUGAAGCCAGAGUGCUCCAGACUUGCCACAAGGUUUAGAAGUGAAUUUCAAAUUCCAAGAGUUGUUUUCUUUGAGGUGCUUCGAGGGAUUUGAUGAGAGAGAAAACUUUCGACUACAGGUUUGUAAAAAACCCGAGGAGAUUUUUUAAAGUAUUCAUAAUUGCACAAGUUGUACAUAUUUCAUGUUUAUUUUGCUCUUUUGGCUUUACUUUAUUUGUCCCCAUGUGUACACUAUGGUGCUGCCCAGGAAUUUAUAAAUUUUGAUGGGAACCUGGAAUUUUUAAAAUUAAAAAAAAGUAUGUAAAUGUUAACCUUUAGGGCCCUUUUUCUUGCAUUUA